GCGCCAUUAGCUCAACUGGUAGAGCAUCGGUCUCCAAAAUCGGUGGUGCGGGUUCGAGUCCUGCAUGGCGUGCCA
rnacentral:tRNA from 1 species